rnacentral:rRNA from 1 species
GAUGAACGCUGGCGGCGUGCCUAAUACAUGCAAGUCGAGCGAACGGACGAGAAGCUUGCUUCUCUGAUGUUAGCGGCGGACGGGUGAGUGACACGUGGAUAACCUACCUAUAAGACUGGGAUAACUUCGGGAAACCGGAGCUAAUACCGGAUAAUAUUUUGAACCGCAUGGUUCAAAAGUGAAAGACGGUCUUGCUGUCACUUAUAGAUGGAUCCGCGCUGCAUUAGCUAGUUGGUAAGGUAACGGCUUACCAAGGCAACGAUGCAUAGCCGACCUGCGAGGGUGAUCGGCCACACUGGAACUGAGACACGGUCCAGACUCCUACGGGAGGCAGCAGUAGGGAAUCUUCCGCAAUGGGCGAAAGCCUGACGGAGCAACGCCGCGUGAGUGAUGAAGGUCUUCGGAUCGUAAAACUCUGUUAUUAGGGAAGAACAUAUGUGUAAGUAACUGUGCACAUCUUGACGGUACCUAAUCAGAAAGCCACGGCUAACUACGUG